rnacentral:rRNA from 1 species
UACUUUUAAAUAAGGAAGAGUUUGUGGUGGAUGCCUUGGGUCUGGAAGUCGAUGAAGGACGUGAUUACCUGCGAUAAGCCUCGUAGAGCUGGAAAUAUGCUAUGAAACGGGGAUUUCCGAAUGGGGAAACCUAACUAUGGUAAUGCAUAGUUGCUUAUGUCUGAAUACAUAGGACAUAAAGCGAGAUACCUUGUGAACUGAAACAUCUUAGUAGCAAGAGGAAAAGAAAAUAAAUAAUGAUUUCUUUAGUAGCGGCGAGCGAACGAGAAAGAGCCCAAACCAUUUUAAAUGGGGUUAUAGGACAGACUACAUAGAGUUACAAAAUUUAAUAAUAGCAGAAGCUUUUGGGAAGAAGCGGCACAGAAGGUGAUACCCCUGUAUGCGAAAUUAUUAAAUCUCUUGACUGUAUCCUGAGUAGGGCGGGGCACGUGAAACCCUGUCUGAAUUUGCCGGGACCACCCGGUAAGGCUAAAUACUAACCAGACACCGAUAGCGAACUAGUACCGUGAGGGAAAGGUGAAAAGAACCCCGAGAGGGGAGUGAAAUAGACUCUGAAACCACUUACUUACAAUUAGUCAGAGCCCGUUAAUGGGUGAUGGCGUACAUCUUGCAGUAUGGACCGGCGAGUUACUUUAGCAUGCAAGGUUAAGCAGAUAAAAGCGGAGCCGUAGAGAAAUCGAGUCUUAAUAGGGCGAUUAGUAUGCUUGAGUACACCCGAAACCAGGUGACCUAUUCAUGAGCAGACUGAAACUUAGCUAACCCUAAGUGGAGGGUCGAACCGUAGUACACUAAAACGUGCCCGGAUGACUUGUGAAUAGCGGAGAAAUUCCAAUCGAACUUGGAGAUAGCUGGUUCUCCUCGAAAUAGCUUUAGGGCUAGCGUGUAGUGUUAAAUAAUGGUGGUAAAGCACUGAAUAUGGAAUGGCCUCGCCUAGGGGUACUGACUAUAAUCAAACUCUGAAUACCGUUAUGAAUUGCUAUGCAGUCGGAACCGGGGUGCUAACGUCCCGGCUCGCGAGGGAAACAACCCAGAUCGUCAGCUAAGGUCCCAAAAUCGUGUUAAGUCAGAAAGGUUGUGAGGUUUCAUAAACAACUAGGAAGUUGGCUUAGAAGCAGCCAUCUUUUAAAGAGUGCGUAAUAGCUCACUAGUCAAGAGACCUUGCGCCGA